rnacentral:lncRNA from 1 species
CUCCACGGCACGGUGGAGGAGUUCUGAAGUCCUAAAGUUGGGGCAGGACCUGCAGCAUGGUCGGAGAAGGGGCAAGAGGCCCGGCGGGAAGAAGCAGCAAGAGUCGUGGAAUUAAGGGAAGAAGCAGAAAAGUUCUAGAAGAGGACUGGAGAAGUAGAAGGACUACAGACCCCAUGAUGCACAUGGAAAUGGGCGUAAAUCUGCACGACUUGUUCCGGGGCAUGCGCAUGUGUAAGCGCACAAUAAUCUCUUAAGAAUUAAAGAAACCUUGUAACAAAGAAAAGUAGUGAAGAAAAGCCUUAAGGAAAAGAGAAGGAAUGUGUGUAGUCCCUCUGCUUAAGGAAAAGAUAGAGGGUGGGAAGAUCUUCCUUCAACAAUUUAGAUCAACAUUUGUUAGGUAUAUGUGGUUUGCCAGGAAACUGCAUGUGUGUUGUGGACCAUAUGUGUUGAAGAUGCAGUGAUCAAAAAGACUUAGUCCCAGCUAUUAAGGAGAUCACAGUUUGGCAGCAAAUUAUUAUAGAAUGUGAUGGCUGUUCUAACAGACAUAUAAAGGAAGUGCUAUGGAUGGAAGCACAGAGGAAGAAGAGGUUAAUAGUGUCUAAGAACCUAGAAGGGAUGAAGAUGAAAAUUGAGAUUUGAAAGGUGAGAAAGUCAUUAAGACAAGGAUGACUUAAAGGUAUUCCAAACUCCUAAGAAAUACAGGGAGUUUUGGUGGAUGCAGAAUGAUUGAGGAAGGCUGUGAAAGUCUUCUCUUAACAAAAAUCUCUUUCUGUAAUGGUUGCUUGUUUAUGGGAUGAGAAACUAGGGGGUCAUUUGCUUGCUUAAAGCCUCUGGCUUCUCCUGAUGCAACUUCCAGGCCAGUCUACCUUCUCUUCUCAAAUCCCCCAGCUUUUGCUUCAAGUUUACUUCCAGCCUGGCAAGGAGUGAGUCUUCUGAGCACAACCACCCAGUGUCCAAGCAGGGCGGGAACACCUCCUUCCUCAUCUCUCCCACACAUACUCCUUCCAUACCCACCAAGAAGAAAGGCAGCCAGGAAGAGUGGACAGGUCCAGAACCACAGAGGGUGAUGAACAGAUGCAGAAGUAUCAAUCCUGAGGCUAAAGAGUAAUUGGGCAAAGUUUUGGUGAGACACUCCCAUUGCCACUGAUGAUAAGGAAUGUUUUCUCUUGAAAGGCUUAAAAUUGGUGGAAAGCGGUGGCUCACGUCCGUAAUCCAAGCACUUUGGGAGGCUGGGGCAGGUGGAUGGACUGAGCUCAAGAGUUCAAGAUCAGCCUGGGCAACAUGGUGAAACCCUGUUUCUACAAAAAAUUUAAAAAUAUUAGCCAGGUGUGGUGGCACGUGCUCCCAGCCUGGGCAACACCUCCCAGUACUUGGGAGGCUGAGGAGGGAGGAUAUCGUGAGCCGUGGAGGUGGUUGCAGUGAGCCGAGACUAUGUCACUGAACUCCAGCCUGGGCAACAGAGCCAGACCCUGUCUCAAAAAAAAAAAAAAA